UCUUGAUAUAAAAGAUAAGUAAAAUUACUACUUGUAUUAUAUGUAUGUUUACAAGUGAUGAAAGGGAAGAUAAAGAUUCAAAUGAAAGCCACAACACAUUCAUUUUGUUUGAAUGUCACACACAAAAAAAAUAUCUUUGUUUAGCUCUCUUAACACACACCACACAAACUUGACAGAAGCAAGAAUUGACCUGCUGAUGGAAGACAGUGUAGGAGUCAAGACAUGGCAUGUUCUACAUAGGCUAACAAACAAACUCAGUGUAAUCGAUUCCUAGUGGUGGGGCCUGUCCGUCUUGGGAGGAUAGUGUGUAUGCAGACCUUACCACUACAUUGAAGGUAGAGAUGUUAUUUUCGAUAGAUCCUUGGCUUAAAGAACGAUAUAAAAGAAGGCAGUAGCAACAAGUAGAAGAAACAACAAGAUAAUACAGUAAUUGAUAAUAAUAAUAAGGUACUUUUAGUCGUUAAACAUCUUAUAUAAAUUGGUGUAUAUAAGGAGGUUGAAUAGAUUAAAUGGUAAACAUGUGCUUGAGUCGUAGAAGAGAAAAAGCAAAUUGACAGAGAAAGGUAUAUAUCAUGAAAACUACAAGUUUUACAUAAUCUAUUUCUGCACUAAAAUGAUCAAAAUUACUAAUUAAGUUGGCAGAGAAGAAAUCAAGAAAUGUUUGUUGUGUGUCUAUUCAAUAAGUUUGAUAAACUAAGCAAAUACAUGUAGUAUGCAGAUUUAGUUGUUGCUUUGGAGUAAUCAAUUCCAGGAACGUCACACAGUCAUGUACAGUCAAUGUGUCACACAAUAUGUAAAGAUGAUCUCAAGCCGUUGUAAAGUUGGAAACUAUCAAUAGUUCACAUUCUCAAGUCAACUCACAAAAAGCGUCUUUGUGAACACACACACAAUGUCCUGAGCUUAUUUGUGUUCCCACAUCUCAGGGAAUUAAUUAAUUCGUAUCCAGGGAAUAUUGUAAGUGAACAAAAUAAUAAACCUGAAUAUGUCAAAUUCUUCAAGCUGGAAUAUUAAUAGUUCAGGGAAUCUGUUCAAUAUUUGUUAAUUAGUUUUCCAGAUUCACCUUUCUUCAGUUUCGGAACUGGAAAGUGAUGAAUUAAGCAGAAAGUUGUUAUGUCGAAAAUUGGGGGUACGAGAAAGAAGAAAUGCAUAAAGUGAAGUGAUACUCUUAUUUAAAAUGAGCAUUCUCGAUGCUAUGCCCUCAAGCGUACUCAAAUCCUCAUGCUCUUUAGCAUGAACUUUUAAGAACCCUCAGGAGUGCUUAUGAAUUGGAAAGUGUUUAGAGGCAGUGUUGGAUACUAGAUUUUCUGAAUGCAGAGCUACUGAAUUGGGAAAUGAAGUAUCACAACUACGGCUUGAGUCGCAACCCAAUCAUUCAGUGCGUUAUGUUCAUUGCUUCCUUGAGAAAAGCAAUGUUAGAUGCUGGAACACACAAGGUUCCAGCCCUCAUUUUAAUUUAGUGGAGCUGAUAACUGAAACAGCUUGAUGACGAAAUCUCGACUCAUCAAAAUCAGCUAAGUCACAGCUCGACAGAUCAAGGAGGAUACAUUUUGGUGAAAAUGCACAGCAAAUCUGCUUCCAAAGUCUGUUUGGAGAGGUCCCUAUGCAAGUUAUUGUUUCGGGCUGAAGCGUAGUUUGUUGUUGUAUAACAGUGAUGUUCUCACGUCAGCUUGUGUUCUAUUCGAUUAAUUCAAUUGGUACUGCCGUCUACUUUACAUCAAUAGACAUAUGAGGUAACUCUAUCGUCCGAAACUUAGAUGGGAAGAGUUGAAGUCUCUUUCUCCAACUCUUCAAAGAAUGUUGAAAACACAUGAUGAUCUCUAUGUGAGGCUCAGGCAGUAGAGAAUAUUACAAAUAUUUUUCCUGAUGUCUCUUUGAUCUUCCGAUGAAGGAACAUCAUGAGUCUGAAAUAAGAUAUUUUCGAACUCUAUAAAACAGAUUUUUAUGUUUCCGAACUUAACGUAGAGUGUUGUAUGUUUGUAUUAUGAUGUCUAUGUGAAAGAGUUGAGUGCAAUACAAUGUCUUUAGCGAUGAAA